rnacentral:rRNA from 1 species
AUUGAACGCUGGCGGCACGCCUAACACAUGCAAGUCGAGCGGCAGCGCGAUAUGUAGCAAUACAUAUUGGCGGCGAGCGGCGGACGGGUGAGGAACACGUAGGAACCUACCUCGAGUGGGGGAUAACCAAGGGAAACUUUGGCUAAUACCGCAUGAUUUCGAGAGAGCAAAGCUGCCGCAAGGUGGCGCUCGAGGAGGGGCCUGCGUCCGAUUAGCUAGUUGGUGAGGUAAGAGCUCACCAAGGCGAUGAUCGGUAACUGGUCUGAGAGGACGACCAGUCACACUGGGACUGAGACACGGCCCAGACUCCUACGGGAGGCAGCAGUGGGGAAUAUUGGACAAUGGGGGCAACCCUGAUCCAGCGAUGCCGCGUGAGUGAAGAAGGCCUUCGGGUCGUAAAGCUCUUUAGGUUGGGAAGAAGAGUGAUGGAGGAAAUGCUAUCACUUUGACGGUACCGACAGAAUAAGCACCGGCAAACUCUGUGCCAGCCGCCGCGGUAAUAC